UCAUAGAGCAGCUGGGUGGUGAGAGGAACAGAGCCCCACAGCACCCUGCUGGUUUCCUAAGGAGUAGCGUUCCUUGGAGGAGCCAUGUCUUCCAUUUGGGGAUGAAAAAUGCAACCAUUGGAAUGCAGAUUUCCUGUGGCGCUGCUAAAGCUUAAAGCUCAAGGCCCCUCAUUUGCGUGAACUCUUUCCUAGACCUCCAUUUGGAUGUACACGAGGUUACAAUCAGUGAUGGAGGCAGAGAUUACUCAGGACUAGCCCUCAGUGUUCUGGGCCUGAAACAUCACUCACGGCUCAGGGGCUGCUCUGGGGGCAUGUCUUGGGAAUUUGGAGCACAUGCUUGGAAUCCAGGCUGCCUGAGUUGUAAUUCUUGCUCCAACCCCUUGCUACUAAGGACUUUGUGUCUCAGUUUUCUCAUGUAAGAAAUGGGGCUAAUAGCGAUACCUGUCUAUUUGUCAAGAAGAUUAAAUGGGUUAGUUCACUUAAAUCUCUUGGAGCAGAGUCUGGCACAUGCAAUGUUAACAUGUAUAGUAGUUGUCGCUGCUGUUAUUAUUAUUAUUGUAAAUUCUCUGUAGCUACUUUCCAAGGAGGGGCCUUGUGGCAAGUGUUGCUCCAUAGUGACACAGUUCCCAUUGUCAUUCAUUCUAGCUGAAUUGCUUUCCUUCUUUUGCAUUCCUGCUGAAAUGCCUUACUGCAUCUAGUUUCUUUCCAUUCUUGAGAAAUUUGAAUUUGGCUUUCUGACCUUAUCCUUGAAAUUCUUUUUCUAAAAUUAUUUUCUGUGGCUUUGUUGAGAUAUAAUUGACAUAUAACAUCAUGUAAGUUUAAGGUGUACAUUGUGAUGAUUUGAUAUAUGUGUGUAUUGUAAAAUGAUCUCUACAAUUAACUUUAGUUAAUAUUCAUUACCUCACAUAGUUAAAUUUUUUUUAUUGUGAUGAGAACUUUUAAGAUCUGCUGUCUUAGCAGCAUUCAAAUAUACAAUCCUGUAUUGUUGACUAUAGUCACCGUGCUGUACCUUCCGUUCCCAGAACUUAUUUAUCUUAAAUUCGCAGUUUGUACCUUUUUACCACCUUCACCCAUUUCUCCCGCCUCCCUACCAAAUCCUUAGUAGUGAGUAUGGGUAAUGCCAGAGCAUGCCUUUUGUUCACUUCAUUGGAUGGGAAGACUGCUUUUGACUGAGCAAGGACCCAAUCCACCUCAACAACUGAUUCUUACAAUGGCAAUUCCGGAAGUAUGUAAAAAGAAUAAUUUGGGCACAUCAGGACUCUCACUUCUGAGGCUGCCUUCUAAAUCUUCUCAGCUAUUAUUUUACUGGUAUAAUUUUAGCUUUUAAUGGUCUUUCAUGUAUCUGAAGAAGAGAUCUCUUUGGUUACUCAUGUCACUUACAAAUUGUAUGAUUUUGAUCAAGUUCCUUACCUCUCUGAGGCUGUGUGCUAAUCUAUGAAAUAAAGAUAAAAAUAAUAGCCUCUUUAUAGGCGUGUAGGUAGGAUUUACUGAUUUAAUGACUAUGA